UUUAUUUUUUUGUAUUCAAAUGAAGAUAUAAACCAUUUCAUAUAAUCGAAAAUAAAAAAUCUACGUACAUAAUUCCAGAUGGUCCAAAAAUGUCAUACAUAAAUAAAAUACCAAUAAAUAUAAAAAAUAUCAUACAAUCGAGACAAAUAAAGUAGUAAGAUCGUCAAAAUAAAAUACAGACCAUAGUACUACACUAUAUACUAACACACUAUUGUGUAUGUCUAACUACCUCUCAUCUGCCUCGUCUACCUCCUCGACCAUCAAUCCCCCAUCCCCUGACGUUGUCUCUGGUACAACAAUGCCCUUCAUGCCUCUGUCAUGAUGGCAUCUAGGACCUUCCUUACACCAAACCCAUCAGGGAAGAGACAUGCGUCAAUGUCUUCCUACGCAAUCUCCACUAUGUAAUGGCACCUAGGCAAGACAUCUUCAACAUGAUCUAGCUGUGUCUGCUACUCCUCUAGUAUCUCCUGAUGAACUGGUCUCGAUGGAUCUCUUGGAGUAGCAUGAACCAUGUACAAAUGUGACACCCUGAAGAACCAUAUGAUGUACCCUUCGACGUAGUUCCAAUCACUCUCAGCGAUGGUAGCCCGUGCCUCUUCCGAUACCGGAUGACUCUCAUAAUCAUCCAACAUGUCCUUUAUAUGUCUAUGUGUCAAGGCAGGAGGAGAAGAGACAACAUGAUGUCUGAGAAUGGUCUGAGUGUAGCCGAACUUCCGCAUGACACGCUCGGGCAGAUGAGGAGCAAUGAGACCCGAUUAACAUGUCAAUCAUCCAGAGUAUAGCAUUAUCUCGUAAAAUGGUCGCGUCUCACAGUGAUCAACAUAAUUGUUGAAGUGCAUGUCCUCAAUAAUCAGACGAUCAAGAUAGACUCUAUAAGGAUCGGUCGCCAGGUUCCUUCUAAAAUUUGUCAAAAAUAAUCAUUGUCAGAAAUUUUUCAAUUAAAAUUAACGUUAAAAACAUAAUGAAUCCAACUAAUCCUACCUCUCAGUCUCAGAUAUGUCUGACAAUAUGGUCUGAAUACAUAUACAAUAAUGACAAAUCAAAUGGGCCUCCUCCAAAUGCCUCUAGCUCAGCACGCGCAGCAGCCUCACCCUCAGGAGGUGGCACUAGAUCAACAACAUCAAUGGUAGGAGGGUGGACUGGAUCAACAUCAUUUAUAGUAGGAGGUGACAUUGGAUCAGCAACAUCCUAGGGGAAGAAGAAGAUGAAGUGGAAUGAGGAGAAGCACGAGCCCAAGAAAUGGAUGACUUUGCCUGACCAGAGGGACCAAGAGCCUCCGGAACCUACUUACUUUUCGCCUGCCACGCAGAUGUGUGAUGAUCAACCCUCAUGUGCCCUAAUUUAUCAUGUCUAUACGCCAUUAUGAUUGUAAGUUAAAGUAAGGUAAACCAUUAGUCCGGGAAAACAACACAAGCAAGAAAAUCAAACAAAAAAAAUUGCAGAAAAUUCAGGAGAUGCAUCUCGGUAACCUAGUAAUCUAAAACGCUGAAAAAUUCUAGAGAUGCAUCUCCGAAAUUUCCUGCAACUCAGAAGUUACAUCAAUUGUGUCAAUGUACCCCAUGCAAUGUUAAAAAAACUUAUUUUGAUCAUAAUUUUCAGCCAACAAACAUCUAAUACAAUAUGUCUAAACUAUCUUAAAUUUUAUUUCUACUCAUUUCUAACUCUAAUAAUUGAUUUCUACUCAUUUACACAAAAACUCAAAAAUUUAUCGAAAAUUUAAAAAGUUGAUGUUUCAGAUGUUGUUUCUGAUGUUAGAGAUGAUGAUUGAGUUUUAAGUUGGUGCAGAGAAAAAUCUGAGAGAGUGUUGAAGAAGUGUUUUAAGUAAAAUAUGAAGUGAUGAAGCAGAAGGGUCUGACGCGAUUUAACCUCCAAAAUGUUAUGGAGAUGCAUCUCCUAAAUCUAGGGGCAUUCAUGUAUUUUUGUGUGGUGCGUAAGAAACAUAUGGGGUGCAUUAAAAAAUUGCCCAUUUAUAAGGUAAAUAAGAUUGGGCCUUCCUAGGCCUUUAGUCUAGGCCAGAACAAUUGUCCCCAAACUUACGAUGUCGAUAGGCGUAUGAUGUAUUCAAAAUUCGGUCAGGCGACUCCAUUCCCAUAUUCUUGCAAGGAGAAGUGGAAAAGUUCUGGCAACAUCCUCAUUAAAUGCUUAUCUAAUCAUUGAAACAUUUUGUUGAAAACCUUACGCCUGGAUCUAGGUGAACAUGUUAAGGAAUGACGCAUCUAUCUACACUAUUCGAGUGCACUUAAGUGCAUUUAUUUCCCCGAGGAGGCAUUUUGGGUUGUCGGAUCAUUGUUCUGACAUUAUCCCACAAUUUUGUAAUAUUUUCCCUCUCUUUAUAUAAACUUCCUUUUGGGUUUCUUUAGAACUUUUUGGUUUCCUUCUUCUUCUUUCUACCACUCUUGUGCUUUUCUUCUUCAUUACCCCUAGGUGAUUCUUGCUUCCAUUUGCUUCUCUGCCUGCUUGAGUCUUUGCAUUGUCAUUUUUCCUUUCUCAAACAAUUUCCUUCGCUCCAUAUCCUUCCUUCAGGUACCAUUUAUUUUUGGCCCUUCUUCUCUUUUCGUUGUUUUGUUAUGGAUGACCCAUGGGUUUUCCAUUGAAUAUAAAUGGAGACUGUGGGAGGGAUUCUGCCAUAUCGUCUUCUUAUGGGAACCCUAACAUUCCAGAUAAGAAGCAACUAAAAAUUAAUGGUCUCAUUCCUAAUUUGGCCAUUCUUAGCGAUAGUUUAGGAUUGAGGGAUGUUCUGUUGAGAGUGGAGGCGGCCCUCUUAGUCCUUCUGAUGAGAAUGAGGAGGGGAACUCACACACUCUAGUUUAUAUGGAGUCUGUUGCACGUGUAACUUCUUAUGUUCAUUAUUAUGAAGAAAUGAAAACCGUUCCCUAUCAUGAGAUAAGAACCCAUUAUUUUCUGAAACGUUUUCACUACUAGUGGUAGAGAACCCAUUUAGGAGGUAAUUCGGGAACAUCUACUUUUUAGGAAUAAUUAUCCAACUUUUGAAAUACGUUUUAUUUUAUGUGAGAGUUGAAACGACAUUAUCUUUCCUUUAGCACUUCAUCAGAACCUUGAAUAUUCUUUUGACGAGGCUUGAGAUAACUCUUCAAGAUAACUUCCAUCAUCAGAUAAACCAGUUGAUCAUACAUCUUUGCUGACUUCACCUGAUUAAGUUUGACAUAAGGUAUUUUCUUCCAUAUAUAGACAUAUAACUAGAUCUCCAAGCGCCACAAUCUUGAUCACCGCAACUUGAUUACCAAGCAUAUUAAUUUGAUCAUUGCACCAGAUGAUCUUUAGACACUUCAGCUACAACGCAACUUGAUAAUCUCAACAGAUGACACUUUGAUAUUCAAGCACCAUCACUUGAUAAAGACUUCUCUUAAGAGCACUACCAACAUUAAAACUUAACAAAUCACUGCAGACAUCAUACAUGUAAGCACAUAAAUCCAAAGUUUGGGGGGAAAAUAAUUAAAUUUCAAGAACAACAUUAAAGGAUUUUAAGUAUUUGCAAGCUCGAAUAUGAUCUUAUACCUUAUUUAUUUUUUAUCUUUUUAUGAUCAUUAGUUUAAGUGUGAGUAACUCGUAAACUAUUAAAUUGAUGCGCGCGCACACACACAUACACACACACACACACACACACACACACAACACACACAACACACAAUACACAACACACAACACACACACACACAACACACACGCACACACGCAACACACACACAUACACACACACACACACACACACACACAACACACACAACACACAAUACACAACACACAACACACACACACACAACACACACGCACACACGCACACACGCACGCACGCGCACACACACACACACACACACAAAUAUAGAUUAAGAAGCCUUUUAAUUUCCCUAAUAUAGAUUAAGAAGCCUUUUAAUUGAUUAGGCUCGAGUUUUGGUAUUUUCUUCCCUAAAAGCUAUGUAAUAGUAGAUUAGCAUCGCAGGCUAAUCGUGUAGGUAACAACUUUGGCCUAAAAUUCUUUCAUUUUUUGGCCAAUUUUGUUACUAUAUAGGCAGGACCAGUGUUUACUUUAAAACAACACAAGAAAUCUGAAAUAUUACUCUUCUCGCUUACUCAGUCUCUUCUGAGAAACUUUUUAAACACUUAUAAUCCUUUUACGUUGAGAGAGAAAAAUACUUAAGUAAGAGUUAUGCUUGUGUAAUUGACAUUUGAAUCAAAUUGAGUUAUAAUUUUAAAUCAAGAGUAUCAUUUUCUUGUAACAUUGAUAUUAUUAUAAAGAUUGCAAAUUGAAUGUGGGUAAAAGCCCGGUGUAAAAAGGUUAUGGGUUGAUCUUGUGAUAAAAACUUAAUCUGUUAGUGGAACUCCCAAAGAGAAAUCCUUAAGGACUAGAGUAGAUCGUGUGGUUUACGAUUGAACCAAUGUAAAUUUUGGUGUGCACUUUCCUUUGCCUUAUCUCUUUAUUUUCAUGUUAUUUACUUUUUUGCGCUUGAAUCUCUCCUUUAUCUCUUUUUAAAAAUUGAUCAAGUCAAAUCAAUUGUUUUUUGUUUUCUAAAAGUAUUCAAAAACCUUUAUUAGCAUAAUUCACCCCUCUUAUAUUUGAAGUAUCUUGGUCAACAAGUGGAUUAAAGCCUAAUUCUUAUUAUAAGACUAAUCAUCAUAGGAGGUAGGAUGAUUUCAAAUGAUUCAUUAAAAACCCCUCAUAUUUUUAUGGCGGGGAGUAUGCUUAUUGGAAAGAGAAAAUACAAAUCCUUAUAGAGGAGAUGGAUUGUGAUAUAUGGAUUGCUGUUAAAAAAGGUCCAUUUUCCCCACAUUAUGGCGGGGAGUAUGCUUAUUGGAAAGAGAAAAUACAAAUCCUUAUAGAGGAGAUGGAUUGUGAUAUAUGGAUUGCUGUUAAAAAAGGUCCAUUUUCCCCACACAACAAGUUAAUGAUGUUAUGGAAAACAAAUUUAGAGAUCUUUGAACCAAAGAACAUAACGGAAAGGUGUAGUACAAUUUGAAAGCUAAAACUAUUACCACUAAUGCUC
rnacentral:lncRNA from 1 species